rnacentral:lncRNA from 1 species
CAGUAAAUAAUUCUGCCCGGCCGCCUCUCUGCCAGGUACGUUAAUUCCAUGACGACGUCGUACGAGGACUAUUCUCGAUCGCGAUUCGCGAGGCCACGCACGAUUAUUGCGUGCAUGCAUGUGCUCUUCGAUCUUCUUUGUUGCUGAUGACUCAUUGACAGACAUAGAUUUAAAAAUGUAGUAUAUGUUCUCGUACGUGAGACUCGGCAAAUUGAUUGAGACUGUGUGAUACAAACAGAGUAGAUGCCGUUCAGACUUUAUUAUAUGACUGACGCCGCAGCUGAUAAUAAUAGCUAGCAACACUGAAACAGACGGUUAAAAACUGUUGAUGUUACGACAAUAGCUACGUUGGUCUGAUCUCUGAUGCCGUUCAGACUUAGACGUGAUUGAAAAUCUGCAAUGCAAGACGCGGUCAACACAUAAAUUAAAGAUCCAUGCAUGAAUUAUGGCCAUUGAAUUGAUAGAUAGACAAUAAUAUAAUCAGUCAACGUUGCUACUAGCUAGCUAUAGUAGUUCGAUCGGAGACAAAUCUUCUGUAGCGUUUCGUUUGAUUAGUUGCGGAGGCUCAGUUUGUCUUGCAUAUGCGCAGAACCUUGAGAGGUAGCUGCUAGACUCGCGAUUAAUCUCGUGUCUUCAUCACGUAAUCAUCUAGGAGAAUAUAUAUAACAGAAGAAAGACUUUGGCGUGUGUGGAUUCAUCUACCGUCUGUAUUUUCCGGGCACCGCCAGCUUUGCAUAUAAUGUGCUUGCACUUCAUCGAUUCAGAAAUUCAAAGGCUCUGAACUUUCCAAACUGAAAGGCUUGAUUUGACGUUUCUGAUGAUCCAAGCCUCGGUAGAACAGUUUGGAGAUCGCAAUGAGGACGUACGCAUGCCUUGCCCUUCCCAACUUCAUUAAUUGUCUCAGAUGCCGACGCAUAUAUAUAGAUAAUAUAUAAGAACUUUUUCAAAGACAUCAAAGGCCCUAUAUAUUGUACCCCUAUGUCUGUCUAGUUUGGAGUAGAUCUCUUCUCUUACAUGCUCGAGUUUACAUUAUUGGUGUCGAUUGUUGCUUAUAUGUAACAUGCCGAUUAGAGCCUCUAUCCCUCCUUAUUAUAUAGUCUAGGUGAUAGUGUAAGGCCCAAAAUUGGUAUAAGAAAAAAAUAAUAAUACAAUAAAUAUAUGAAGAAAUAAAAUAGCAAAUUCAGAUAUCUCAAAUUAUAAGUGUUGAAAAUUGAGGACUGAAUUUUGAAAACCAAGAAUUAUUUUAGAAAAGAAGUAAUAGAAAAGUUUUCUAUUCAACUAAAUGAUUAUGCAUAUCAUUAAAUGAUGCACCAUAAACAUUUACUUACAUGAAUAUUUACUUUUAAAGUAACUUUUACUUCUUAUCCCAUAUUCAAAAUACUACUUUUCUAAAAAGAAAGAAAACAAUAUGAGUGUUUUGCAUAUUUCAAACAUCUACCAAACAAAUAAACUAAUUAAAAUAAAUAUAUAUCUAAUGCUUCAUAAUUGAUUUUGAGUAUGUAUUAAAAAUUUGAAUUCCUAAAUUUUAUCUUGGAUUUGAAUUUUAAAUUUGUAAUGUCAAAAAGGAAAUUCCAUAAUUGAGAAAAGAGAAGAAAUACUACACAGAUAAGAUAAAAUAAAUAUAUAAAUUAAUUAAAAUAAGUUCAUAUUGGUAAUUUACUUUAGGAAGUUAACCUAGGUAUGAACUUCACAACAAGUAUGAAUUCAAAUUUCAAAUUUAAAUUUGAAAGAAAAGAGAAAAAAAGGAAAAGAAAACAGAAAAAGAAAAAAGAAAAAAAAGAGAAACGACACACUGGGCCAAUUCUGGCGUGGCCGGCCCAACUAACCUCCUAUCCCCGCAACCCGCGCUACCGCCCGCACUGACACUGGAUCCCCACUGGUCAACCUCAUACGCACGCGCCAGGCUCGCCCAACGCCGCUGACUCGUGGGCCCGCUGGGUCAGUCCGACCGAGUAGACGACUCCACAUCUCCGCGCACCACUCAAUACCUUGUCACACUGUCUUGCGGGCCCUCCACAUCAGUCGCUCAUAGUCGCGCGACCUAAACAACUCUCACUGCCGUGCGGGCCCCAUAUUCCAGCGUCCCCCGGUUGUUGCGCGAGCGCGUAGUCACGUUCACCUGGGACCCACCGGUCAGCUCCUUUCCCCCUCCUCCGUCCGAGUCUCGCGGCACGUAACAAAUCUCGGCCAUGGCGGUGCGCCCCGCAGGCCUCGGGACCCGUUGCACGACCCCGCUAACCCACACAUAUAUAAUGCGCCACGAUCCUAAGCCUUUCCCCUCCCCAAUUUCUCGUCUGCCAUUACGAAAUUGCGAGUGUGUCGGUGUUGGGAGAACCAGAUUGCGUCGCCGCCGUGGAGAUCUGGCCCUGGUGUACUUCGGUGUCGUUCUGUUGGCCAUGGAGUUUCGCCUGGGUCCGGUGAAUCGUGUUGCGGCGUAUCGGGCCGAGAAGACCAGUGUGGCCAUGGGAAUCCGUCGUCGUGAUCUUCUUCGCCGCCGCAUUGCGCCUAUUGUCGGGGCCAGGCUUCGUCGUGGUGAGAUUGCGGGUAACUAUGGACCAAUCCCAUUCCUAAUAUCGUGCGCAUCGCAUUAGACUAAUGGGAGUUAGGUUUUAUGACCCGGAGCACCAUGUGGAGCUCGCCGGAGUUUACUCCACCGCGGGUGGAUUCGUCACCGUCGCUCGGCCACGGAUAGGGGUGGGAGAAUGGGCUUAGGCCGUUGGAUGUGUGUUGGACGGUGAUGUUUAGAGCGCCAUACCCUUCGACUAAUUGAAUCUGCGUCGUCGAUCUACAAUCCGAGGGGUGCGAGCGAGAUUAGCUAAUAUAAAAUCUGCGUCGUAGAUCGCGGAUCGGGCGGACCGUGUUGCGUACCGUUUCGCAGGCGGCCAGAUCUAAUCUGUGUCGUUGUGUCAGACCGGACGGCCGAGAAUCACCCAUACCCUUUUGUGAAUGCAGAUUUUCACAUGAGCCCUUCUGUUUUUACAAAAAUAAGCCUGCAAUCCAUCGACCGUGUGCCUGAGUCUUAGAUUUUUUAUGCAAUAGACCCUGGGUUUCUGUUAAUCAUGCGCGCAGUCCAGACCUCUAGGAAAAUAGAGAAAUUCAUUUAGAAAAAUAUUUUUAAUGCAAAAUUAAUUCCAGAAAUUUGUUUAAUUACUAGAAAAUACAUUUUAACUCCUUUUUAAUCCAUUCCAGUUUCUAUAAUUUUGUAAUAUUAUUGUUUAUCAUCUAGUGCCACUGUUUUGACAUGAAAGACAAAUUAAAAUUAACCUCUUAAUUAAUCUGUAUCAAAUACAUAAAACCUUUGGAAAUUCAUAACUUCCCCAUUUUAACUCCGAAUUAAACUGUUCCAGUUGCGUUAGCUUCAUAUGAAUAUUUACUAUGCAAUAACAACGUUUAUUGUACCAUGCCUCAUUCUUUAUAAUUAGAUCUUUAUUUAACUUAUGUUGGUUAGUCUUGUUAAUCUGCUUAUUAUUAUAAUCUACUAAAAUAUGAUCUAUAGUCAAUUUAUAAUGUAGAUUAAAGUUGAAUUAAUUACUAAUUUAGGUUAUCUUUUCUAUGGAAUUAUAAAAUAAACAUAAAACCUAGUGUUAAUUAUUUAAUCAUAACUUGAUGAUCGUAACCCCCGAUUUUAGUGGUUCUCGAACCCACGAUCUCGUAGCGACGCGUAGAUCAUUAUUAUGCAGUUUGUUUUUAUGUUUGGUGUGAUGUUAAUUUUGUCUAUAUCAUGUUUGUUUGUAUUGCUACGACUAGCAGUGAGGUCACGAGGAUCUAAAGAUCAUCCUGGUACCUGUAAUCUCAAGUGCCAGGCAAGUUGUGCCCUUGAUCACAUUUAUUUACUUAAUAAUGUUUUUAUAAUCAUUUAUUCCUGCAUAGGUUUAAUUUUGAUGAGACCCAAUAGGUCACCCUAGUCUGAUUAUCUUUAUACCUUGUUUACCCCUGAACUAUUUGGGUAGUUUUGCUAUUGCUCUAUAUAGUUUUGGGAUUAAUAUUACAUUAUGUCCAUGUUCCAAUUAUUAUGUUAUUCUAUUUAUUGUUCAUGUCAAGAUCAUCAUAUUUUUAAUUGGAACAUGGAGCUAAACUUGAGAAACAUGUGCCACCACAAGGGUGGAAUGGGACGCCCUUGGCUGACUAACUAGGAAAGCUAGUGGAAGACUACCUUACCCGAAAGGGGCAAGGGCAGUAGGGGAGUAGGCAUGUAGGGAGGUUCUCGGGUUGAUUUUGUUGCGAUGGCGGUUAGACGAGGGAUUCCUACAAUUGCUCUUCCUAGAAACUGUAGCGGGGUUCGGAAGCUAGUGGAACUUUGUAAAGGCCUCGUAGUGGAUCCCUAGCCAUUCACCUCGUUAGUGUCUAAGGGUCUAGCUAAUCCUGGCGACAUGUGAUACACGACUUGUGGGUACAUGGUACAACCUCUGCAGAGUGUAAAACUGGUAUACUAGUCGAGCUCACGGUCAUGAGCAGCUUAGGACUCUCGCAUGAUUAAAUUAUGAAACUAAAUCCAAUUUGUUAUUUGCAUUGCAUGGGAUUUAUUAUUAAUUUUGUUCUAUUAUUAUUAUGGUUUGGUAUUCACUUACAUCUAGUAAUUGCUAAUAGAAUUUUGACCAACUUUAAAAGCAAUGCUCAACUUUAACCAUUCUCUUUGGUAAGCCUUACACUUCACAUGAGCUCCCACCUUUGGCAAGUUCAUGCACAUUAUUCCCCAUAACUUGUUGAGCUAUGAAUGUAUGUGAGCUCACCCUUGCUGUCUCAUACCCCCACAUGUCAAGAACAGGUACCAUUGGAUGAGGCGCAUGGAGGAUGCUGCGAUGUGUUCAUGAGAGGUCUAGGUCGUCGUCUCCCAGUCAACUUUGGGUUGUUGGAUCGUUCUCUCCUUACGAUGAAAUUAUUUAUUUAUUUUGUACAUAACUCCUAUUGUAUAAUAAAGUUGUGACAUUCGUUUCUG